UACGUAGGGUCCAAGCGUUAUCCGGAAUCACUGGGCGUAAAGCGUGCGUAGGCGGCGUGUUAAGUGUGAUGUUAAAUCGUGUGGCUCAACCAUAUCGAUGCAUCACAUACUGGCAUGCUAGAGGAAGGCAGAGGCAAGUGGAAUUGGUAGUGUAGCAGUGAAAUGCGUAGAUAUUACCAGGAACAACCAAUGGCGAAGGCAGCUUGCUGGGCCUUUUCUGACGCUGAGGUACGAAAGCGUGGGGGAGCAAACAGG
rnacentral:rRNA from 1 species